UACGGAGGAUGCAAGCGUUAUCCGGAAUGAUUGGGCGUAAAGCGUCCGCAGGUGGCUAUGUAAGUCUGCUGUUAAAGAGUGAGGCUCAACCUCAUAAGAGCAGUGGAAACUACAUGGCUAGAGUACGUUCGGGGCAGAGGGAAUUCCUGGUGUAGCGGUGAAAUGCGUAGAGAUCAGGAAGAACACCAGUGGCGAAGGCGCUCUGCUAGGCCGUAACUGACGCUGAGACGCGAAAGCGUGGGGAGCAAACAGG
rnacentral:rRNA from 1 species